CAAUAGCGUAUAUUAAAGUUGUUGCAGUUAAAACGCUCGUAGUCGGAUUUCGGGGCCUGCCUGCCGGUCUGCCGAUGGGUAUGCACUGGCAGGCGCGUCCUUCCUUCCGGAGACUGUCCCUACUCUUAACUGAGCGGGGUCGGGAGACGGAUCGUUUACUUUGAAAAAUCAGAGUGUUUCAAGCAGGCAGCUCGCUCUUGCAUGGAUUAGCAUGGGAUAAUGAAAUAGGACUUUGGUGCUAUUUUGUUUGGUUUCGUAACAACCGAAGUAAUAGAUUAACAGGGACGAGUCAGGGGCGACUCGUAUUCCGCCGAGAGAGGUGAAA
rnacentral:rRNA from 1 species